CAAUUGUCCAGACAGAGGAUUGAGUUAACGAAUUGACGGUCUAUUAACCCAAUUUAACACAGGCUACUGUUUGGCCGUAGCCCACGCCAAAUAACUGAAAGGUACCCUACAAACCAACCGUGACCUUCUCUUGUGAAGGCCAAACGUAAUAGAGAGAACAAUGGCCAAACUUGGUCUUAGCCUCCAAUGCUCCAUCCCCCUGCCCAAACCACCCUCCACGCCACUCCGCCAACCACCAGGGUGCCCGGCAUCAGAACAUUCCAGGCAUUCCCGUGCUUGGCAUGUCGGACCCCGCGAACACUUGGUACUGAGUUCCCAGUUGUCUUGAAAGCACCAUCAAUCCAGAGAAUGCCAGAGUUUGAUGACAACAUUUUGACAAAAUGUGCCCACAAGGACUGCAGCACCACCUUCCUGUUCAAGUGAGCAUAGCACAAGGUCCAUUACCAGCCUUUGUAUCUCUCCUCCUCAAAUCUGUGGACCUGGCAAGGGGGAGGCCUUUUACGAGGGUGGAUGAGGCAGCAAUUCUAGCAUUAGGGGGUUUGCUUGUUGGUAGGUGCCGCUUAGCUGUCCUCUGAGCUCCCUUGUUGUUUCUGGAUGGAGCUGGCUUCAGGUUCUUGUCUACAGAGGGACACACAGAACUGGAGGCCGCCAUGGACGGCUACAUGUCAGGUGUGGAGGUGGGUCCUUGUGUUUUCAGAACUGGAGGCUGCCAUGGACGGCCACAUGUCAGGUGUGGAGGUGGGUCCUUGUGUUUUCAGAACUGGAGGCUGCCAUGGACGGCUACAUGUCAGGUGUGGAGGUGGGUCCUUGUGUUUUCAGAACUGGAGGCUGCCAUGGACGGCUACAUGUCAGGUGUGGAGGUGGGUCCUUGUGUUUUCAGAACUGGAGGCUGCCAUGGACGGCUACAUGUCAGGUGUGGAGGUGGGUCCUUGUGUUUUCAGAACUGGAGGCUGCCAUGGACGGCCACAUGUCAGGUGUGGAGGUGGGUCCUUGUGUUUUCAGAACUGGAGGCUGCCAUGGACGGCUACAUGUCAGGUGUGGAGGUGGGUCCUUGUGUUUUCAGAACUGGAGGCUGCCAUGGACGGCUACAUGUCAGGUGUGGAGGUGGGUCCUUGUGUUUUCAGAACUGGAGGCUGCCAUGGACGGCUACAUGUCAGGUGUGGAGGUGGGUCCUUGUGUUUUCCAACACGCCGUUGGGCUCUCUCCUCUCUUUCCCUCAGGUGCAUUUUUAUUCUGUCACACUCCAGUUGGGCCUUUUGCACUUUCCUCCUCCUCAAGGUGUUGAGCUGCCUUAUCCAGCCUAUGUAGCUGUGAUAACCAAAAUAAAGCAUUAGUCGAUACACUGAAAGCGUGGAUAACAAAUAUUCCGAUAUAUAGAAACUAAUGUUAAAACAUGUUACCUUCUUUGUUUACGGUCUGUAGAGUUAUCGACUGCAUUGAUGAUAGUCCCAAAGCCUAUUGAAACCUCUAUUCAUCUUGAGUAAUAGAUCUUGGGGAAACUGAGACUCUCCCUGAGACUCUCCCAAACUGCAACAAGUGAAGAUGUGCAGCAACCGAUCGGAGAUUAGUGGGCAUCACUGGGGCUGGGGGUGUAGACUCCCUGCUGUCACCUGUAGUAUCUGCUGGUCAUCUCAAAUCUCUGAGUAGAACCUGACUGUAUU